rnacentral:rRNA from 1 species
CCUACGUGUGGCAGCAGUGGGGAAUAUUGCGCAAUGGGCGAAAGCCUGACGCAGCGACGCCGCGUGAGGGAUGAAGGUCUUCGGAUCGUAAACCUCUGUCAGCAGGGAAGAACGGUCACUGUGCUAAUCAGCAGUGAAUUGACGGUACCUGCAAAGGAAGCACCGGCUAACUCCGUGCCAGCAGCCGCGGUAAUACGGAGGGUGCGAGCGUUAAUCGGAAUUACUGGGCGUAAAGCGCUCGUAGGCGGUAUGUCAAGUCAAGGGUGAAAUCCCCGCGCUCAACGUGGGAACUGCCUUUGAAACUGGCAAACUGGAGUGUGGGAGAGGAUAGUGGAAUUCCAGGUGUAGGAGGGAAAUCCGUAGAUAUCUGGAGGAACAUCAGUGGCGAAGGCGACUAUCUGGCACAUAACUGACGCUGAGGAGCGAAAGCGUGGGUAGCAAACAGGAUUAGAUACCCCGGUAGUC